rnacentral:rRNA from 1 species
CCUACGGGAGGCAGCAGUGGGGGAUAUUGCACAAUGGGGUAAACCCUGAUGCAGCGACGCCGCGUGAGUGAAGAAGUAUUUCGGUAUGUAAAGCUCUAUCAGCCGGGAAGAAAAUGACAGUACCUGACCAAGAAGCCCCGGCUCACUACGUGCCAGCAGCCGCGGUAAUCCGUAGGAGGCAAGCGUUAUCCGGAUUUACUGGGUGUAAAGGGAGCGUAGACGGUUAUGUAAGUCUGGAGUGAAAGCCCGGGGCACAACCCCGGGACUGCUUUGGAAACUGUGUAACUUGAGUACAGGAGGGGCAGGCGGAAUUCCUGGUGUAGCGGUGAAAUGCGUAGAUAUCAGGAGGAACACCGGCGGCGAAGGCGGCCUGCUGGACUGAAACUGACGUUGAGGCUCGAAAGCGUGGGGAGCAAACAGGAUUAGAUACCCGGGUAGUA